UGAUUGUAUUUGUCUAAAAAAGAAAUUGUUGAGACGUGCAUGGUAAUUCAAGUUUCAGAUGUGUUCCAUUAUAUGCAAAUCUAAAACAGUAAUUAGAAGAUCCAAGAUUUAUGAAAUAAGAAACAAAUGGUUAAUUUAAAGGAAAAAAUUCAAAAUGAUACAGAAAUCAGGCAUUUGAUUAUAGAAGGACUUCUGUAAUAUGCAGUUCACGUAGGAAUGUACUGGUGCAUCGGUUGAAUCAUUUACAGCACAUUUCUUUUUUUCACAUAGUAUAUGUACAUGUACUGGUUUUGUACACACUAUUUAUUCAUAUUCAGAAUAAAGUUUUUAAUAUC
rnacentral:misc_RNA from 1 species